rnacentral:lncRNA from 1 species
GGAUGCCCUGGGUAGCUGUUCUAGAAUGGGAGCUUUUGCAUAUUGACACAGAAAUGAGAGGCCAGGCAGUCCGAGCAGAGCUCUGAAGCUGGACCUGUGCACUAAAUAGUCAAGAACUCAGCUGGGCUGCAGAAAAGCUGUGGAGCACAAUGC